AUCCAGCUGACAAAUCUCAAAUAGGACGAAACGUGCGUCCUAGAU
rnacentral:hammerhead_ribozyme from 1 species